CUCUUCUCUCUCUAGUUCUCAUCCAUAUGAGCAUGGGCUUCAUGAUGCUGGCCCUGACCCUGUGCCUCAUCCUCCUCCCCACCAUGGGCCUCUCCUUCCGGCCAGUGUUCCGACGCCUUACUAAGGUCGACCUUGUCUUCAGUUUUCUCAGCUUCAGCAUUGUCAGCUGCGAGACGUUGCACCCGAGGCCACAGAUAUCCUACCUGGUAACCACUUACCUGUGCUGGACUGCAGGCGCCUUGAUGCUGUGGGCC
rnacentral:lncRNA from 1 species